rnacentral:tRNA from 1 species
CCGACCUUAGCUCAGUUGGUAGAGCGGAGGACUGUAGUUGGUCAAACCAAUGAUCCUUAGGUCGCUGGUUCAAAUCCGGCAGGUCGGA